rnacentral:rRNA from 1 species
AGAGCGAACGCUGGCGGCAGGCUUAACACAUGCAAGUCGAGCGCCCCGCAAGGGGGAGCGGCAGACGGGAGAGUAACACGUGGGAACGUACCUUUCGGUUCGGAACAACCCAGGGAAACUUGGGCUAAUACCGGAUACGCCCGUAAGGGGAAAGAUUUAUCGCCGGAAGAUCGGCCCGCGUCUGAUUAGCUAGUUGGUGAGGUAACGGCUCACCAAGGCGACGAUCAGUAGCUGGUCUGAGAGGAUGAUCAGCCUCACUGGGACUGAGACACGGCCCAGACUCCUACGGGAGGCAGCAGUGGGGAAUAUUGGACAAUGGGCGCAAGCCUGAUCCAGCCAUGCCGCGUGAGUGAUGAAGGCCCUAGGGUUGUAAAGCUCUUUUGUGCGGGAAGAUAAUGACGGUACCGCAAGAAUAAGCCCGGCUAACUCGCGCCAGCAGCCGC